rnacentral:rRNA from 1 species
AUUGAACGCUGGCGGCAGGCCUAACACAUGCAAGUCGAACGAGUGGCGGACGGGUGAGUAAUGUCUGGGAAACUGCCUGAUGGAGGGGGAUAACUACUGGAAACGGUAGCUAAUACCGCAUACCAUCAGAUGUGCCCAGAUGGGAUUAGCUUGUUGGUGGGGUAACGGCUCACCAAGGCGACGAUCCCUAGCCGGUCUGAGAGGAUGACCGGCCACACUGGGACUGAGACACGGUCCAGACGCCUACGGGAGGCAGCAGUGGGGAAUAUUGGACAAUGGGCGCAAGCCUGAUGCAGCCAUGCCGCGUGAGUGAAGAAGGCCUUCGGGUUGUAAAGUACUGUCAGCAGGGAGGCGUUACCCGAAGAAGAAGCACCGGCUAACUCCGUGCCAGCAGCCGCGGUAAUUC